CUUUUUGAUUAUAAUUUAAGGUCUAACCUGCCCAAUGAGUGUUAAAUGGCUGCGGUACCCUGACCGUGCAAAGGUAGCAUAAUCAUUAGUUUCUUAAUUAGAAGCUGGAAUGAAAGGUUGAAUGAAAAAAUAACUGUCUCUGUUUAAUUUUAAUUUGAAUUUUAUUUUUAAGUAAAAAAGCUUAAAUAAUUAUAGAAGACGAGAAGACCCUAUAGAGUUUUACUAAUUUAUAAUUUUGAAUAAGUAGAAUUUAUUAAUUUUUUAGUUAUAGAUUAGUUUGGUUGGGGUGAUUGAAAAAUUUAAUAAACUUUUUUUUUAUUUUUACAUUUAUUUAUGAAUAUUUGAUCCUUUGUUAAUAAAGAUUAUAAGAAUAAAUUACCUUAGGGAUAACAGCGUAAUUUUUUUAGAGAGUUCUUAUCGAAAAAAAAGAUUGCGACCUCGAUGUUGGAUUAAAAUAAAAUUUUGGUGUAGAAGCUAAA
rnacentral:rRNA from 1 species